rnacentral:lncRNA from 13 species
CUGGGCCAAUAAGAGAUGACUCACCUGCAUGGUAACUGAAUGCCAUUGUUUCAGCUUGGGAUGCAGGGGCCGCAUGGAACAAGACAUCUGUUGGCGAGAACUUCUUUCACACACCUGACGGCGAGAGCUUCUGCAGACAGCACAGACACACUGUGAAAGAACUCAGCUUGGGCAGGGGCCUCUGCAUGGCAAACUUCAGCAGCAUGUGGGUCUUCUACAUAGCUGUUCAACUCCAACUCCAUUCCAGAGCCAGCCAUUCUGAAGAUCACGGUAGGCACAGAGGUGACGGGGAGAGGCAUGCUUCACAGGCUGCACUUGGGAGAACACUAGUCUAGUCUUAACUACUCUCUGGUUCAUGCUAAUUUCACUAAGCUAAAUAUGUGACACGUUUUCUGGAAAAGUUCAUUUAUUUCCAGACAUAUAUGUUAAAUGUUCUAAAUAACUAAUUUAUCAUUUGCAGAGAUAGUUGAAGAUUUAGAAACAAAAAUUUCAUAGAGUAACUGUUAUGGUUAGGCUGUGUCCACCCAAAUCUCCUCUUGAGUUGUAGCUCCCAUACUCUCCACAUGCCAUGGAAGGGAGCUGGUGGGAAGUGACUGAAUCAUGCGGAUGGGUUUUCCUGUGCUGUUCUUGUGAUAGUGACUAGGUCUCACGAGAUCUGAUAGAUUUAUAAAGGGCAGUUCCCCUGCACACACUCUCUUGCCUGCCGCCAUGUAAGACCUGCCUUUGCUCCUCCUUCACCUUCUGCCAUGACUGUGAGGCCUCCCACCCAUGUGGAAUGUGAGUCCAUUAAACCUCUUUUUCUUGAUAAAUUACCCAGUCUCGGCAUCUCUUCAUAGCAAUAUGAAAAUGGACUAAUACACACCUAUAUCAAUAAUGAAGAGGAUUGCAGGUGCUGAAAGGGGUAAAACUCAAGAGUGAAUACCUACAUUCUUUACUGAACAUUUUUACUAUUUAAUUAUGCUGUUUGUGGAAUCAGUUGCUGGGAAUAUAUCAUUGGGACAGAUCAUGAUGAACUGUGUGUCCAUUAAGCCCCUUUUUCUUUAUAAAUUGCCCAGUCUUGGGUAUUUCUUCAUAGUGUUAUGAAAAUUCACUAAUCCAGUAACAAUACUUGAGAAAAACAGAAACUUUUUUUUCCUUGGACACCAGGGUUAAGCAGAAAAUUGAAACAAGGGCUGGAGUAUUAUUUUCUGUCAUUACAAGUCCCCAGUGUUCUAAAUCCUCCAGUGCCUGAAAAUGCAGUUUAAAUGAUUUCUUAAAAAGUUCUCUGCAGCUUAUAGCUUCAGCUUUAGGUCACACUGAUUUUUACAGCUAAAUAAUAAAGCUGGAACAAAG